UCCUGGCUUAAGACGAACGCUGGCGGCGUGCCUAACACAUGCAAGUCGAGCGGGGACAUUGCGACGGAGACGAAGUACUCGUACGGAGUCAAAGAUGUAAUGUCUAGCGGCGGACGGGUGAGUAACGCGUGAGCAACCUGUCCCUUACAGGGGGAUAACACAGCGAAAGUUGUACUAAUACCGCAUAAGACCACAGAGUGACAUCGCUCAGGGGUCAAAGGAGCAAUCCGGUAAGGGGUGGGCUCGCGUCCGAUUAGAUAGUUGGUGAGGUAACGGCCACCAAGUCGACGAUCGGUAGCCGACCUGAGAGGGUGAUCGGCCACAUUGGGACUGAGACACGGCCCAAACUCCUACGGGAGGCAGCAGUGGGGAAUAUUGGGCAAUGGGGGGAAACCCUGACCCAGCAACGCCGCGUGAGGGAAGAAGGUUUUCGGAUCGUAAACCUCUGUCCCAGGUGAAGAGGAAGAGACGGUAGCCUGGGAGGAAGCCCCGGCUAACUACGUGCCAGCCGCCGC
rnacentral:rRNA from 1 species